rfam:Glarea lozoyensis ATCC 20868 chromosome Tnknown GLAREA7, whole genome shotgun sequence.
AGUUUUCUGAUUGUAAAUUUCCGCAAGGAAAUAUGAUGGUCAGAACUUAACCCUAAGUAUUCGUUGGUUUUAGUUUUGCGGUUUACAGUUGUCCUUCUAGUUUACUAGGUAUUCAUUUGUCGAGCGCAGAUCUGCGACGCCGCGAGGUCGAGCUUUCUGCAUGAAACAGAGUUAUCGAAACGCUGGGAGGAUAGUCCAGAUGUCGAAAGAUGAUAAAACUGAUCUCUCCUAUGAGCCAUUUCGGUCAGAGCCUCAUGUGAGGACGCUCGUCAGGGUUAUCGGCUGGGCAUAAUACUCUGGUUACCUUAGGCUGCUUUUGUUGAUCCAGCCAUACAUUGAGGAUAUACAACGUUGGAAGGAUACGGACUCUUUUGAAGAAGCAGUCUUGUCUGUCAA